rnacentral:lncRNA from 1 species
GAAUGGGGUAAGCAAAUCUGUCCGGGUGUUUUGUGAUGAGUGUGUUUUUUAUGUGUCGUCUUCCAACACCAUGUGCACCUAGUAAGACUAGUGUUUUCCUUUUGAAUGCUGGCAGUUUUACUACUUCUUCAUAUGUGACGAGAUCUAAUUGAUCAAACACUGCAUUGUGCUUUGCCAAAUAUUUAUCUUUGUACUGCUUUUUUUUCUUUCCAAACCAAGUACAGCUGGCCUGUUGUUCCUGUUUGGUCUUCUCCAUGGCAAUACAAGCAACCCGCCAUUCUUGAAGUUCAGGAGAAGGAAUAAGACCUGCAGUACCGUUUUUGGAGUUCUCCAGUUUACCCUGCCACCAGUUGUGAUCGUCUUUGCUAAUGAUUUGGAUAAUAUCACCAACUCGGAAUCUGAUGCCAGCUUCUUUGCAAGGAAUGAGGUCAUCCUUUGCUGGAUCAUAUUCAAAUUGUGCUCUUACAUAUAUCUGUCGUCCUUUUGGUUGUGUUGUCGACGGCAAGUCCGAAACAGAAUUGUUAGUGCUGCUAUGGCCAUUAGCUGGGGACUGUCUGGAUGUAGAGGGGGAAUCUCUCUCACAGGAUGAAGACUGUGUGCGAUAACUUGGCACUAUCUUAAAGGUGAUACUUCCACGCAUUUCCCUAAGCAUUUUUUGUAGUUGUUCUACUGUUUGAUUUGCCACACUGAUGCCGUUUAUUUCUCGGAUUUCAUCCCCUACAUGUAACGUACCUUGCCGGUGAAUCAUUCCUCCGUGCAUAAUUCUUGCCACAAUGCAAUGGUUCAGCUCAUUCAUUUUUAAAGUGAUUCCCUAGGAGAAGAAGUGUAU